GAUGAACGCUGGCGGCGUGCCUAAUACAUGCAAGUCGAGCGAACGGACGAGAAGCUUGCUUCUCUGAUGUUAGCGGCGGACGGGUGAGUAACACGUGGAUAACCUACCUAUAAGACUGGGAUAACUUCGGGAAUCCGGAGCUAAUACCGGAUGAUAUUUUGAACCGCAUGGUUCAAAAGUGAAAGACGGUCUUGCUGUCACUUAUAGAUGGAUCCGCGCUGCAUUAGCUAGUUGGUAAGGUAACGGCUUACCAAGGCAACGAUGCGUAGCCGACCUGAGAGGGUGAUCGGCCACACUGGAACUGAGACACGGUCCAGACUCCUACGGGAGGCAGCAGUAGGGAAUCUUCCGCAAUGGGCGAAAGCCUGACGGAGCAACGCCGCGUGAGUGAUGAAGGUCUUCGGAUCGUAAAACUCUGUUAUUAGGGAAGAACAGAUGUGUAAGUAACUGUGCACGUCUUGACGGUACCUAAUCAGAAAGCCACGGCUAACUACGUG
rnacentral:rRNA from 1 species